GGACAUAUGGCCGAGUGGUCUAAGGCGCUAGCUUCAGGUUCAUUCCAGAUUCGCUAGUCUUCGGGCGUGGGUUCGAAUCCCACUGUGUUCA
rnacentral:tRNA from 1 species